CAUUUGCAAGCUUCAAUAUACAAUAUAUUCCUCUCCUUUUGCUAAAUUUACCCCGCAAUGCCUCCUAUACUCUUUUUAAUCUCCGUUGAUCUAAUACCAAAACGAAGCAGUAUCCCAAAUCCUAAAACAAGGAAUUGCUGUAAUUUAUCCAGACGGGAAUUUCGUUGGACCUGUGUGAACAAAUAGGCCCAUGAGAGUCGUGCAUGCACAAAUGUCAGUCCAGCGUUGAAUUCUUCCCUUCCUAUAUUCACUGUAGUGAUAGUUGGUAGAUUGAUGUAAUUAGUAUAGAAAAUUUGCAUAUGAUGCACCAUGUUAUAUUUUAACGAGUCACAAGCUAAAGGAAAGGCUAUAUAUACUAUGUGAUAUUGGGGCAACAUGUUAUAUACAUUUGUAUCACAAAUAGUUUGGACACUACUUUCUACUUUGGGAUGACAAAUAGCUAAUGCUAUCAUAAAGUUUGUUUCGACGGACUUUGAGUCUUCGUUGUUAUAUGGUUGAGAAGCGAAGCACAAUUGCGCAAAUAGUUUGUGAAGAACCAAAUUCAGUGCAUGGAAUUAGCAGUGAUCAUGCAUUUAGUUUGAUUAGGCAUUUUUAAAUUCGUCGAUAUUGUUAGUGCAUUUCAAAGUAUGGACUAGUUUAUUCUAACCCAUUAUUUUAAUUCUUCAAUUCUAAUUCCUUAUAUAUUCGCCAAUAAUCAUAUCUUAAUUCAAGGAUUAACCCUGCUCAAAUGAUGUACCCUUUAUUCCAUUGGAAAAAAUUUUAACCAUUUUUUUUGUAAAGAAAUUUGUUGUAACGGUGACGGGUUUAAACCGGAAAAUGGACGUUUUGAGGAAAACGUACACCAACCGGGACUCAAUGCAGCCGUUAGAGAAAAGUAUAGAACUAACCGAUAUUGAUCAUGAUCAAAAAUCAAAUCAUGAUCAAAUAAAAAAUGCCGUACCGCUAUUAAUCAACUUUGCAAACAUGAUGCGCUUUUUACAUUAAUGAUAGCCUAAUGUAUUUAAUUUUCUAAGCUUGUGACUGUAGUUGACUCAAGUUACUCAAGAAAUACCAUUAGUUCGAUUUACAGUUAUAUUUAUACAAUUGGUUACUUUCAUUUGCUGAAUUAUAUAUUAUAUUACAAAG